AUCCGGUUUACCAAGAACCAGUGAACUCAGGAGAGUAGCGAAGCAAUUCCAAAUCCAAUCUCUUCCCUGUCUCGGUGUCUGUCUAACCUCACAAUUGUGAGAUGAUCAGUUCUUCGCAUAUUUGAGUGUUUGUUUGCUUAGUUACACUUGGUCCUGUAACAUCCAAUAUGGCCAUGAAGUCGCAAGUAAUUACUGGAUUAACCUUCCCAUUGCCACCUGCUUAUUCUUCUUCUGCAUCUUCCUCCUCGAGCUCUAACCGCCAAUCUCUACGUCAUGUGAAGCCGCCUCUAACGACGUCGUUUUUCAAUGGGGGAGUGCAUGCUAUAAGAAUAUCAGGGAUAAAGUUGCGCACUUCCAACCAAGCCCAACGCCACGGACAUUGUGGAGGAGCUCUUGGUACUCGUAUGAACCUUUUUGAUCGGUUUGCUCGAGUUGUCAAGUCAUAUGCAAAUGCUGUCAUAAGUUCAUUUGAAGAUCCAGAAAAGAUUUUAGAGCAAACGGUGCUUGAAAUGAAUGAUGACUUGAUAAAGAUGCGUCAGGCCACAGCACAAGUAUUGGCAUCUCAAAAGCGAUUGGAAAAUAAGCAAAAAGCUGCACAACUAGCUUCUGAAGAAUGGUACCGUAAGGCACAACUUGCUCUGGAGAAAGGAAAUGAAGAUCUCGCUCGUGAAGCUCUCAAAAGGCGUAAAUCUUAUGCUGAUAAUGGUAAUGCUUUAAAAGCUCAACUUGAUCAGCAGAAAAAUGUUGUGGAAAAUCUCGUCUCCAAUACAAGGAUUUUGGAGAGCAAAAUACAAGAGGCAAAGUCAAAGAAAGAUACUUUGAAAGCACGUGCUCAGUCUGCAAAAACUGCAACCAAAGUGAAUGAGAUGUUGGGGAAUGUCAAUACAAGCAGUGCUCUUUCAGCUUUUGAAAAAAUGGAAGAAAAAGCAUUCGGUGCAAAAGGAUCCUGCACGGGAGGUGGGGUCCCCAAAGAGUGGAGUCUUGGCAAUGGAGUCCCAAGCAGAAGCUCUUGGCCAGUUAACUACUGAUGAUCUGGAAAGCAAGUUUUCAUUACUUGAGACCUCGUCAGUUGAUGAUGAUCUUGCAAAUCUGAAAAAGGAACUGUCUGGCAGCUCAAAGAAAGGAGAUCUUCCACCUGGUAGAACAAAUUCUACUUCCUCAAACAAGGAAUUCCCAUUUAAAGAUCCAGAGAUUGAGAUUGAGCUGAAUGAGUUGCGACGAAAGACCAGGGAGUUCUGAACUCUUGAAGUAUCUAUCAUUAUUUCUUCUGCCGACAAAUUUAUUUUGUAAAUUUAAAUACCCAAGUAGGGACAUUGUACAGGUAGAAGCCAACAACUUUGAUAUUAUUGAAAAUUAGUAAAAUUUUCAAGUGGGUGAAUACCAACUGCUGUCAUGUUGUAAUUGUAUCUACAUACAGUUGUUUCAGCAAAACGGCUUGCUUGGAUUAUUUGCAGUGCAAAAAUCGCUGAAGACCAGGAAAUUUGGAAUAUUCAAACCUGUUGAUUUGGCAGCAGCGAUAUGCAGUGUUGAUUUUUUGAUCAUAUUAAAUAUGAUCUUAU